rnacentral:rRNA from 1 species
GUGCCAGCAGCCGCGGUAAGACGUAGGGCGCGAGCGUUGUCCGGAUUUAUUGGGCGUAAAGAGCUCGUAGGCGGCUUGUCGCGUCGUCCGUGAAAACCCACAGCUCAACUGUGGGCUUGCGGUCGAUACGGGCAGGCUGGAGUUCGGUAGGGGAGACUGGAAUUCCUGGUGUAGCGGUGAAAUGCGCAGAUAUCAGGAGGAACACCGGUGGCGAAGGCGGGUCUCUGGGCCGAUACUGACGCUGAGGAGCGAAAGCGUGGGGAGCGAACAGGAUUAGAUACCCGAGUAGUCC